rnacentral:pre_miRNA from 1 species
UGGAAGACUAGUGAUUUUGUUGUUGUCUCGCUACUGAUCAACAACAAGUCCCAGUCUGCCACA